UACGUAGGUGACAAGCGUUGUCCGGAUUUACUGGGCGUAAAGAGCGCGCAGGCGGUCGAUCAAGUCGAGUGUGAAAGCCCCCGGCUCAACUGGGGAGGGUCAUUCGAUACUGAUCGACUCGAAGGCAGGAGAGGGUAGUGGAAUUCCCGGUGUAGUGGUGAAAUGCGUAGAUAUCGGGAGGAACACCAGUGGCGAAGGCGGGCACCUGGGCUAACACUGACGCUGAUGCGCGAAAGCUAGGGGAGCAAACAGG
rnacentral:rRNA from 1 species